rnacentral:rRNA from 1 species
CGAGCGAAGCGGGAAGAGCUCAAAUUUAUAAUCUGGCACCUUCGGUGUCCGAGUUGUAAUCUCUAGAAGUGUUUUCCGCGUUGGACCGCACACAAGUCUGUUGGAAUACAGCGGCAUAGUGGUGAUACCCCCGUAUAUGGUGCGGACGCCCAGCGCUUUGUGAUACACUUUCAAUGAGUCGAGUUGUUUGGGAAUGCAGCUCAAAUUGGGUGGUAAAUUCCAUCUAAAGCUAAAUAUUGGCGAGAGACCGAUAGCGAACAAGUACCGUGAGGGAAAGAUGAAAAGCACUUUGGAAAGAGAGUUAACAGUACGUGAAAUUGUUGGAAGGGAAACGCUUGAAGUCAGACUUGCUUGCCGGAGCUUGCUUCGGUUUGCAGGCCAGCAUCAGUUUUCUGGGGUGGAUAAUGACGGUUUGAAGGUAGCAGUCUCGGCUGUGUUAUAGCUUUCCGUUGGAUACACUCUGGGGGACUGAGGAACGCAGCGUGCUUUUUGCGAAGGUUUCGACCUUUUCACGCUUAGG